UACGUAGGGGCCUAGCGUUGUCCGGAAUUAUUGGGCGUAAAGAGCUCGUAGGCGGUCUGUCGCGUCGGCUGUGAAAACCUGGGGCUCAACCCCAGGCCUGCAGUUGAUACGGGCAGACUAGAGUCCGGCAGGGGAGACUGGAAUUCCUGGUGUAGCGGUGAAAUGCGCAGAUAUCAGGAGGAACACCGGUGGCGAAGGCGGGUCUCUGGGCCGGAACUGACGCUGAGGAGCGAAAGCGUGGGGAGCGAACAGG
rnacentral:rRNA from 1 species